rfam:Xanthomonas fragariae strain PD5205 genome assembly, chromosome: 1
AUGUGCCACGCGUACACUUCGGUUCCUACGCGCCGUCCGCACCCACCUGGCGGCUGCUCGCUACGUUUUGUUAUCC